CAGAUUUUUGACCUUCUGAAUCAGUGGUUCCCAACCUAGGGUCCAGGACCCCCCAAGGGAGUCCCCAAAGAACACAGGGGGUCCCUGAGGCUUUGAACAUUAGA